rnacentral:misc_RNA from 1 species
AAGUCGUAACAAGGUUUCCGUAGGUGAACCUGCGGAAGGAUCAUUAACACGUAUCCAACGUUAAACCCCCCGUGCACCUUCAAUCAAAGACUACUUUCGCCACUGAUUUACCAGGAUUGCUGACGUCGAGAGGAGCAGCGCGCUCUGUGAAACAGGACCUCUGAAGUUGUAAGCAGGCAGUUUGAGCCUUCUAUCGCCAGUCUGGAGUCCUGGCCGGGCGGAUGAAAGUGUCGCUAGACGGUUUCUAGGGUAAGGCUUCUCCAUCGCCGGUGUAUCACACGCCGAAGCGGACAGACUGCAGGGUGUAGUGCCCCUUUACGACGACCAAGUUAAAUUAGGCCUCUACCACAUAGCAAGUGCGCCGUGGUAGAGGAAAACGUACAACUGUUAACAAUGGAUAUCUUGGUUCUC